GAUGAACGCUGGCGGCGUGCCUAAUACAUGCAAGUCGAGCGAACGGACGAGAAUCUUGCUUCUCUGAUGUUAGCGGCGGACGGGUGAGUAACACGUGGAUAACCUACCUAUAAGACUGGGAUAACUUCGGGAAACCGGAGCUAAUACCGGAUAAUAUUUUGAACCGCAUGGUUCAAAAGUGAAAGACGGUCUUGCUGUCACUGAUAGAUGGAUCCGCGCUGCAUUAGCUAGUUGGUAAGGUAACGGCUUACUAAGGCAACGAUGCAUAGCGGACCUGAGAGGGUGAUCGGCCACACGGGAACUGAGAAACGGCCCAGACUCCUACGGGAGGCAGCAGUAGGGAAUCUUCCGCAAUGGGCGAAAGCCUGAUGGAGCAAAGCCGCGUGAGUGAUGAAGGUCUUCGGAUCGUAAAACUCUGUUAUUAUGGAAGAACAUAUGUGUAAGUAACUGGGCAGAUAUUGACGGUACCUAAUCAGAAAGCUACGGCUAACUACGUG
rnacentral:rRNA from 1 species